UACGGGGGGGGGCAAGCGUUGUUCGGAAUUACUGGGCGUAAAGGGCGCGUAGGCGGUUGGAUAAGUCAGCUGUGAAAACCACGGGCUUAACUCGUGGCCUGCAGUUGAGACUGUCUGGCUUGAGUGUGGGAGAGGAGAGUGGAAUUCCUGGUGUAGCGGUGAAAUGCGUAGAUAUCAGGAGGAACACCGGUGGCGAAGGCGGGUCUCUGGGCCGUAACUGACGCUGAGGAGCGAAAGCAUGGGGAGCGAACAGG
rnacentral:rRNA from 1 species